ensembl:snRNA U1 U1 spliceosomal RNA
AUACUUACCUGGCAGGGGAGAUACCAUGAUCACGAAGGUGGUUUUCCCAGGGCGAGGCUCACACAUUGCACUCCGGGUGUGCUGACCCCUGCGAUUUCCCCAAAUGCGGGAAACUCGACUGCAUAAUUUGUGGUAGUGGGGGACUGCGUUCGCGCUCUCCCCUG